UUCUGCUGGGGACUGUGCUUCACCCGGGGUAGGUGAAGGAUCCCAAUAUGGCUGGGCGCAAACUUACUCUAAAAGCCAUUGACUGGAUAGCUUUUGGGGAGAUCAUACCCCGAAACCAAAAGGCUGUUGCUAACUCCCUGAAGUCCUGGAAUGAGACCCUCAGCUCCAGAUUGGCUACAUUACCUGAGAAGCCACCAGCUAUCGACUGGGCAUACUACAAGGCCAAUGUGGCCAAAGCAGGCUUGGUGGAUGACUUUGAAAAGAAGUUUAAUGCCCUGAAGAUUCCUAUGCCAGAGGAUAAAUAUACUGCCCUGGUGGAUGCUGAAGAAAAGGAAGAUGUGAAAAGUUGUGCUGAGUUUGUGUCUCUCUCAAAGGUGAGGGUUACGGAAUAUGAGAAACAGCUGGAGAAAAUGAAGAACAUAAUUCCUUUUGACCAGAUGACCAUUGAGGACUUGAAUGAAGUCUUCCCAGAAACAAAAUUAGACAAGAAGAAGUAUCCCUAUUGGCCUCACCAGCCAAUUGAGAAUUUAUAAAAUUGGGUCGAGGAGGAAGCUCUGCUCCUUACCUUACAAGCUCUGGACAAUAAAAAUAAAAGUAAUGCUA